GUGCGUGCGCGGGGCAUGCUGGGAGUGGUUGUGUACCGUCGCCAACAGCAGGUGAAGCCUAGCAGAGGACGCGUCCAGCCGAUCUGGUGAAGCAAUUCCUGCAGGCGUUGGUUCCCCCCUUUGCCCUGGUAAAGGCAGGCUUUUAUGCGAGAGGAUUUGAAUUUGUUGAAAUGAGCAGUCGUAAAUCAAAGAGUAACAGCUUAAUUCACGCAGAGUGCCUUUCACAGGUACAAAGAAUUUUACGUGAAAGAUUUUGUCAUCAGAGUCCACAUAGUAACCUAUUUGGAGUGCAAGUACAAUACAAACACUUAAGUGAGCUGCUAAAAAGGACCGCUCUCCAUGGAGAGAGUAACUCUGUCCUCAUUAUCGGACCCCGAGGAUCAGGAAAAACUAUGUUAAUAAAUCAUGCUUUGAAAGAACUCAUGGAAAUAGAAGAAGUGAGUGAAAACGUAUUACAAGUUCACUUAAAUGGACUGCUGCAGAUCAAUGACAAAAUCGCCCUAAAGGAAAUCACGAGGCAGUUAAAUCUGGAAAAUGUAGUUGGAGAUAAAGUUUUUGGAAGCUUUGCUGAAAACCUUUCAUUUCUUCUGGAAGCUUUAAAAAAAGGUGACCGAACCAACAGUUGCCCAGUGAUCUUCAUAUUAGAUGAAUUUGAUCUUUUUGCUCAUCAUAAAAACCAAACACUUCUCUAUAAUCUUUUUGACAUUUCUCAGUCUGCACAGACCCCAAUAGCAGUUAUUGGCCUUACAUGUAGAUUGGAUAUUCUGGAACUCUUAGAAAAAAGAGUGAAGUCAAGAUUUUCUCACCGGCAGAUACACUUAAUGAAUUCAUUUGGUUUUCCACAGUAUGUUAAAAUAUUUAAAGAACAAUUAUCUCUACCUGCAGAAUUUCCAGACAAGCUUUUUGCUGAGAAGUGGAAUGAAAAUGUUCAGUAUCUCUCAGAAGAUAGAAGUGUGCAAGAAGUACUACAGAGGCAUUUCAAUAUCAGCAAAAACCUGCGGUCAUUACACAUGCUAUUGAUGCUUACUUUAAAUCGAGUAACAGCAUCACACCCAUUUAUGACUGCCAUAGAUCUAAUGGAAGCAAGUCAACUGUGUAGCAUGGACUCAAAAGCAAAUAUUGUACAUGCCUUUAACUUAAUCCUUUUGAAGGUACUAUCACUCCCAUUUAAAGUGAAAAAAAAAAUUGACGCUCUGCCUCUUUUGCCACAUUGGAAAUCCAGGUCUAUCAGUCUUGGAAAUCUGUCUUAUAAUAGCAAUGAAACAUUUAAAUGACAUCUAUGAGGAAGAGCCAUUUAAUUUUCAAAUGGUCUAUAAUGAGUUUCAGAAGUUUGUUCAAAGGAAAGCACAUUCUGUUUAUAAUUUUGAAAAACCUGUUGUCAUGAAGGCUUUUGAACACUUGCAACAAUUAGAAUUAAUAAAGCCCAUGGAAAGAACUUCAGGAAAUUCACAGAGAGAGUACCAGCUGAUGAAACUGCUUUUGGAUAAUACUCAAAUUAUGAAUGCUCUGCAGAAAUAUCCCAACUGUCCUACAGAUGUGAGGCAGUGGGCAACAUCCUCACUGAGCUGGUUAUGAAUAUAACCAGUGACUUCAACUUUGGCAUUUCAUUCAUACUUCUGUAGAGAACGAAAAACUAUUGUCCUUUAACAUGAUAAUACUAAACAUUCUAUAAAUAUUUUUGUAUUUAUGUGAGACUUGCAUGUCUACUGUCUUGGCUGUGUCUUGCCUUUUAAUCAUGAACGGUUACAUGAUUUAUAAUUUCAGUAAUUGAGAUUACUUUGUAAGUAGCAGUUCAGAAGAAUAAAAUAUGACUGUUUUAGGGACUAGACCAUGUGCUUUUUUAACACUUAUAUAACACUUAUAUAUAUAAUGGUCUAUUUGAAGAGCUCACUUCAACCUAACAGCUAGAUGUCUUUACAAACCUUAAACCAAAGGAGUGAAAAAACAAUGGUAACAACUGAAGUAUAAGUAACCUUUGGUACAGUAGGUUUGCUGCAGGGUUUUUUCCUGUCCACAUGCAAAUUUUGGAUUCUAUCCCAGACUCAGGUUUUCUAGUGCAGGAGACUAACCAGCUUAGUCAGAUGAUGGUUCACAUGGAAGGAAAAGGUCAAGGAGUUUGAAGAUUUUUCUUCUAGAUACCUCAAAAUGUGGUACUCAUACCAUCCACAUCAGAAUCCCUUGUAGGAUUUUCUAAAAUUACAGAUUGUUGAGCUUACCAUAGGUCAAAAGGAUUGGAAUUUGCCUUCUUAACAAGUAUAGUCAUGGCACCACAUAACAUUUUGGUCCGUGACAUUGUAUAUAUGAGGGUGGUCUCAUAAGAUUAUACCAUAUUUUUACUGUACCUUUUCUAUGUUUGAAUAUACAAAUGUUUACCAGUGUGUUACAGUUGCCUACAGUAUGAUUACAGUAACAUUCUGUACAGCGUUGUAGCCUAAGAAUAAUAGGCUAGGCCGUAUGUAUAGCCUAGGUGUGUAACAGGCUAUAUACCAUCAGGGUUUGUGUAAGUACACUCUGUGAUGUUCAUCCAAUGAUGAAAUCACCCAGAGACACAUUUCUCAGAACAUAGCCCCAUCAUGAAGUGACGUGACUGUACCAGAGAUUUCUGGAAAAGCACUCCCAAAAGUAAUGAGACAUGUAUGACAAUGUUAACCGAACCUAUAUCAAAAAGUAAAUCCCCGAGGAAUGUGGACAUGUCAAUCAAAGCAUUGUCUUUUAAGUAAGUUCCAAGAUCCAUGAAUUAACAGAGACAUAUAUUUAAAAUGAAAUUUAAUAAGCACUUAAGUGACUUCAUUUGUUCAAGAAUAUUUGAUUGCCUGCCUACUGUGUGCAUGGGAGGUUUACAAAAGACAGACUGUCUCUAUGCUUGUGCAGCUUACAAUCCAUUUAACUGUUAGAGGCCCUGUGAGAUGUAGGUACUGUUAUUUAUAGAUUAGAAAACUAACACAGCAGUAGCAAUGCUGGGAAUAGCCAGCAGUCUUGGAAUUCAACUCAGUUGAACACCAAAGCCAGUGCUAUUAAAACCUGAAUUUCAACAGUGGAUUCCUUACCAAAUAGUUUUUAAAGUAUGCUCUAAGGCACAAUGUUUUAAUGAAAUCUUGGAUACAAAGUGGAAUAAAAAAUUUCUGUGCAUAAAAGUAGCUCUUCAGUAGUUACUACGUAUUCUUUUGCAUACACAGCCUUUCCUUCCCUGUAAAAAGUUAAACCUUGUAAGUAUUCAGAUCCCUGUCAUUUACUUUUCAGCAGUCUCAUUCAGGCUAAUGCUUGCAUACUGAUUCUAUGCCAUAGUCUACACAUUUUUAGGGGAUAUUUCACCAAAAUACUUAACCUGGUAACAUCACUAUUAUAUACUAGAAGGAAGAAUUUUACACUUAGGCUCUAACUGACCCUUUUAAAAAUUUUCUAAACUAUUUGAGGAAAGUAUUAUUUGUCUUAAAGGGUAACAGCCUCAUGAAAUGACUUGAGGAUUGCAAUUUCUUAUUAGCUUAAGAUGUUACUUAAAAGCUGACAGCCCUCAUCUGUCUCACUGGCUACGUAAGAGCUACAGAAGAUCCAUCAAUAACCAAGUACACAGAUUUUAAGACUAAGUACCAAUUGAGGUAAACAUGAAACAGUUAAAAGCAAAUUCAAAAAAUACAUUAGGAAAAGUUACACCAAUGAAGUAUAUGCCUAUUAUAUUCCCAAAGCAUUUUUGUAGGGAGGAGCAGUGUUGAUUGUUGGCCUUUCCAUAUUCCUUCAUACAAAAAAGCUAGUCUAUUUGCCAGAGUUUUGAGCUAACUUCAUCUCUUAAAUUGCUUCAAUUGUCAUCAAUAAAAACAAGUCUGAAAAACCCUAGUUUAAAAAGCGGUUCAAGAAUAAUGUAAACUUAUACAUAUAGCUUCAAGAUAUUUUCAUUUACUAGAGAAGGAAAAAUAGAACCUGAAAAGCAGGUGAAGGAGGAAUAUUUCAGUGUGUUUUUUACAUCUGUGUUCCCUCCAAGUGGCCCACCAGAAACAGAAUUCUUGUUAAAAUGACUGAUUCUCAUGCACGUGAAAGGCUCUGGGGAAUGAAUACCUGUUUGGUCCAAACUUACUGUAUCAUAACGCUGUAUAUGUUGAAAACGGAAUACCUAUUCAUGUCCUAACGAAUCACUGUUUUGCAGAAAACACUGUAAGAAACACUUCAGUAUUUUCUGUAGAGUUUCCAUGCAUAUUUCACCACGGUUCGCAUUCUCAGCCUCAUUUGGUUUAGAAAGCAAUUCAGUUUCUUUCAAACCACCAUAAUCUAAGUGCUGCCCCGUCCUUCACCUUUACCCUAGAAAAUCUGAGAAUCCAUUCGUGUGUACUGUGUGACACAAUGCCAACAAGCCUCUGCUUCCUAAUACUGGCAGGACCAACACACAUACUUGAGUGGGAAUAUAAUCUGUUUAGACAGGGAAAUACCAUAAUUAACAAAUCUCCCUUCACUUACCACUAUCCUCAUUCUUGCAGUUGUCAAGGUGUAAGCCUCACUAUAAGUUACAAAACUACCACUCCCCUCUUUAAGAACACAUAGCUAAAGAAAAACUGCAUAUGCAAAUCAUACCAUAUUCAUUUUUUUUUUAUUUAACUUGGGGAUGGAAUGGGCAUAGCAUACAUUUUAUUUGUACAAUAUUUAACAAUCACUUAUCCAAGGUGGGGUUUUACGGGGAUUUUAAGCUUUCUGUUAAAUACUUGCAGAAAAAAUAGCAAGUACGAUUUGACAGUAGUACAAUAACCUGUGCCCAAAACACAAGAGAUACAGAGUAAAGCGAAAAUAACUGCUUACCAAUAUUCUGAGAGGUAACAAAUGGGAUAUGGGUUGAGACUGCAUAAAAAACGUACUGCUGGUUGAGUAUCUGAGGUAAAUGAUGUUCAAUCAAGAUGCUACUUGUAUCAUUUUGCCCACAAAUUGAUAAUUUUAUGCAUUAUCAUACCAAAUGUUCCUAAAAAGUAAUCUUUCAAAAAAGUAAAAAAGAUAAACUGGAAA